rnacentral:rRNA from 1 species
UUGUACUGCGAAACUGCGAAUGGCUCAUUAAAUCAGUUAUCGUUUAUUUGAUAGUGCCUUUCCUACUUGGAUAACCGUGGUAAUUCUAGAGCUAAUACAUGCUAAAAAUCCCGACUUCGGAAGGGAUGCAUUUAUUGGAUACAGAACCAACGCCCUUCGGGGCUUUCUGGUGAAUCACAAUAACUCCGCGGAUCGCACGGCCUUGCGCCGGCGAUGGUUCAUUCAAAUUUCUGCCCUAUCAACUUUCGACGGCUGGGUCUUGGCCAGCCGUGGUGACAACGGGUAACGGAGGGUUAGGGCUUGACCCCGGAGAAGGAGCCUGAGAGACGGCUACUACAUCCAAGGAAGGCAGCAGGCGCGCAAAUUACCCAAUCCCGAUUCGGGGAGGUAGUGACAAUAAAUACUGAUCCAGGGCUCUUUUGGGUCUUGGAAUUGGAAUGAGUACAAUUUAAAUCCCUUAACGAGGAACAAUUGGAGGGCAAGUCUGGUGCCAGCAGCCGCGGUAAUUCCAGCUCCAAUAGCGUAUAUUAAAGUUGUUGAGGUUAAAAAGCUCGUAGUUGAACCUUGGCCCUGGCUGGCCGGUCCGCCUCACCGCGAGCACUGGUCCGGCCGGGGCUUUCCCUCUGGGGACCCUCAUGCCCUUCACUGGGUGUGCUGGAGAACCAGGACUUUUACUGUGAACAAAUCAGAUCGCUCAAAGAAGGCUCUCGCUCGAAUGCUUCAGCAUGGAAUAAUGAAAUAGGACGCGCGGUUCUAUUUUGUUGGUUUCUAGGACCGCCGUAAUGAUUAAUAGGGACAGUCGGGGGUAUCAGUAUUCAAUUGUCAGAGGUGAAAUUCUUGGAUCAAUUGAAGACUAACUACUGCGAAAGCAUUUACCAAAGGAUGUUUUCAUUAAUCAGGAACGAAAGUUAGGGGAUCGAAGACGAUCAGAUACCGUCGUAGUCUUAACCAUAAACUAUGCCGAUUAGGGAUCGGACGAUGU